GAGGAUCACGAGUAAGCAAGCAGGGCACUGACCUUGGAUGGGCCACUUGACCUCACAGGGGUCUGGUUUUCUGGAGACAAACCCACACAGUGAUGGAGAGAACCUCGUGACAGAGCCUUGCCCAGGUGCACGCGGGGCAGAGUUCAUCACAGCGCUCGUGGUUUGUUGAAAAGGAGGCCCGGCAGCUGUUCACUGUCUUGACAAACAGCCAGAGAGGCAGGGGAACCCUACACUGUAUACUUUUCUCAGUAAUAAA
rnacentral:lncRNA from 1 species